rnacentral:rRNA from 1 species
UGGGGAAUAUUGCACAAUGGGCGCAAGCCUGAUGCAGCGACGCCGCGUGAGGGAUGAAGGCCUUCGGGUUGUAAACCUCUUUCGGCAGGGACGAAGCGCGAGUGACGGUACCUGCAGAAGAAGCGCCGGCCAACUACGUGCCAGCAGCCGCGGUAAGACGUAGGGCGCAAGCGUUGUCCGGAUUUAUUGGGCGUAAAGAGCUCGUAGGCGGCUUGUCGCGUCGACUGCGAAACUCCACGGCUCAACCGUGGGACUGCAGUCGAUACGGGCAGGCUAGAGUUCGGUAGGGGAAACUGGAAUUCCUGGUGUAGCGGUGAAAUGCGCAGAUAUCAGGAGGAACACCGGUGGCGAAGGCGGGUCUCUGGGCCGAUACUGACGCUGAGGAGCGAAAGCGUGGGGAGCGAACA